rnacentral:rRNA from 1 species
AGAGUUUGAUCCUGGCUCAGGACGAACGCUGGCGGCAUGCCUAACACAUGCAAGUCGAACGGAGUUUAAUUGACAGAAGCCUUCGGGCAGAAGACGAUUAAACUUAGUGGCGGACGGGUGAGUAACGCGUGGAUAACCUGCCUUAUAGAGGGGGACAACAGUUGGAAACGACUGCUAAUACCGCAUAAGGUCUCGAGACCGCAUGAUCUUGAGAAGAAAGAUGGCCUCUGAAAAUGCUAUCGCUAUAAGAUGGAUCCGCGUCUGAUUAGCUAGUUGGUGAGGUAACGGCUCACCAAGGCAACGAUCAGUAGCCGGCCUGAGAGGGUGAACGGCCACAUUGGGACUGAGACACGGCCCAAACUCCUACGGGAGGCAGCAGUGGGGAAUCUUCCGCAAUGGGCGAAAGCCUGACGGAGCAAUGCCGCGUGAAUGAAGAAGGCCUUCGGGUCGUAAAAUUCUGUCCUUAUUGAAGAGAGGUUCAUGUGUAAACAAUGCAUGAAUAGGACGGUAGAUAAGGAGGAAGCCCCGGCUAACUACGUGCCAGCAGCCGCGGUAAUACGUAGGGGGCGAGCGUUGUCCGGAAUCACUGGGCGUAAAGGGCGCGUAGGCGGCCUAGUAAGUCAGAUGUGAAAAGUGAGGGCUCAACCCUUAGAGUGCAUCUGAUACUGCUAGGCUUGAGUACAGAAGAGGAAAGCGGAAUUCCUAGUGUAGCGGUGAAAUGCGUAGAUAUUAGGAGGAACACCAGUGGCGAAGGCGGCUUUCUGGGCUGAAACUGACGCUGAGGCGCGAAAGCGUGGGGAGCAAACAGGAUUAGAUACCCUGGUAGUCCACGCCGUAAACGAUGGGUACUAGGUGUCGGGGGUAUCGAUACCCUCGGUGCCGGAGUAAACACAAUAAGUACCCCGCCUGGGGAGUACGAUCGCAAGAUUGAAACUCAAAGGAAUUGACGGGGGCCCGCACAAGCGGUGGAGCAUGUGGUUUAAUUCGACGCAACGCGAAGAACCUUACCAAGACUUGACAUCCUGCUGACGGAUUGGGUAAUGCCGAUCGUUCUACUUCGGUAGACAGCAGAGACAGGUGGUGCAUGGUUGUCGUCAGCUCGUGUCGUGAGAUGUUGGGUUAAGUCCCGCAACGAGCGCAACCCUUGUCUUAGUUGCCAGCAUUAAGUUGGGCACUCUAAAGAGACUGCCGGUGACAAACCGGAGGAAGGUGGGGAUGACGUCAAAUCAUCAUGCCCCUUAUGUCUUGGGCUACACACGUGCUACAAUGGUCGGUACAAAGGGCAGCGAGACCGCGAGGUGGAGCGAAUCCCAAAAAGCCGAUCCCAGUUCGGAUUGCAGGCUGCAACCCGCCUGCAUGAAGUCGGAAUCGCUAGUAAUCGCAGGUCAGCAUACUGCGGUGAAUACGUUCCCGGGCCUUGUACACACCGCCCGUCACACCACGAAAGUUGGUAACACCCGAAGCCGGUGGUCUAACCGCAAGGAGGAAGCUGUCGAAGGUGGGACUAAUGAUUGGGGUGAAGUCGUAACAAGGUA